rnacentral:rRNA from 1 species
GGAAGGAUCAUUAUUGAAAUAAACCUGAUGGGUUGUUGCUGGUUCUCUAGGGAGCAUGUGCACACCUUGUCAUCUUUAUAUCUCCACCUGUGCACUUUUUGUAGACCUUUCAGGUCUAUGUUGCUUCAUUUACCCCAAUGUAUGUUAAUAGAAUGUUGUGCCUAUAUAAUAUAUACAACUUUCAGCAACGGAUCUCUUGGCUCUCGCAUCGAUGAAGAACGCAGCGAAAUGCGAUAAGUAAUGUGAAUUGCAGAAUUCAGUGAAUCAUCGAAUCUUUGAACGCACCUUGCGCUCCUUGGUAUUCCGAGGAGCAUGCCUGUUUGAGUGUCAUUAAUAUAUCAACCUUCUCUUUAUUGAGUUGUUUGGAUGUGGGGGUUUGCUGGCCUCUUAAAUGAUUCAGCUCCCCUGAAAUGCAUUAGCAGAACAACCUGUUCAUUGGCGUGAUAAUUAUCUAUGCUAUUGAAUGUGAGGGCAGUUCAGCUUUCUAACCGUCCUUGGACAAUUUAUCAUUAAUGUGACCUCAAAUCAGGUAGGACUACCCGCUGAACUUAAGCAUAUCAAUAAGCGGAGGAAAAGAAACUAACAAGGAUUCCCCUAGUAACUGCGAGUGAAGCGGGAAAAGCUCAAAUUUAAAAUCUGGCGGUCUUUUGGCUGUCCGAGUUGUAAUCUAGAGAAGUGUUAUCCGCGCUGGACCGUGUACAAGUCUCCUGGAAUGGAGCAUCAUAGAGGGUGAGAAUCCCGUCUUUGACAUGGACUGCCAGGGCUUUGUGAUGCGCUCUCAAAGAGUCGAGUUGUUUGGGAAUGCAGCUCAAAAUGGGUGGUAAAUUCCAUCUAAAGCUAAAUAUUGGCGAGAGACCGAUAGCG